rnacentral:rRNA from 1 species
UACGUAGGGUGCGAGCGUUGUCCGGAAUUAUUGGGCGUAAAGAGCUCGUAGGCGGUGUGUCACGUCGGCCGUGAAAACCUGCAGCUUAACUGUGGGCGUGCGGUCGAUACGGGCAUCACUGGAGUUCGGCAGGGGAGACUGGAAUUCCUGGUGUAGCGGUGAAAUGCGCAGAUAUCAGGAGGAACACCAGCGGCGAAGGCGGCGCUCUGGGCCGGUACUGACACUGAGGAGCGAAAGCGUGGGUAGCAAACAGG